CGAUAGCGUAUAUUAAAGUUGUUGCAGUUAAAAAGCUCGUAGUUGGAUUUCUGAUCGAGACAUCAGGUCGGGUCCGAGAGGAUCAUGUACUUUGAUUUUGUUUUGAUCAUCCUUGGGGAGAGCAUUUCUGGCAUUCAGUUGUCGGGAUUGGGAUCCUCAUCGUUUACUGUGAAAAAAUUAGAGUGUUCAAAGCAGGCCUCGGCCUCUGAAUACAUUAGCAUGGAAUAAUAAGAUAGGACUUUGGUGGUCUAUUUUGUUGGUUUGCACGCCAAAGUAAUGAUUAAUAGGGAUAGUUGGGGGUAUUCGUAUUCAAUUGUCAGAGGUGAAAUUCUUGGAUUUAUGGAAGACGAACUACUGCGAAAGCAUUUACCAAGGAUGUUUUCAUUAA
rnacentral:rRNA from 1 species